rnacentral:lncRNA from 1 species
CCCCUCUUCCCAGCGCACUGCCAGUAGAAGUCUGCUUUUUUAUACGCAUGGCCGUCGUUGUCACCGGUCCCGGCCCCGGGAUUCUUGAUUCCCCACCAUCCUACCCUUUUUUUUUUUACCAAGCCAUCCUCCCCUUUUCUUUGUUCUGUGGUUUUCCCUUUUAAUAUAUCCCUUUCUUUUGGAGAUACAGAGAUAACGUAAAUCUUUUCUAAAGAAACAAAGGUAACGUGUAAAUAAUCUCUGUAUAGGACACUCGGAUCGUCACAUAUACUCCGUACACAUUUAUAUAUAAACACGUACUUUUGGAAUAUGAUGAUUGGAUCCUUUAAAUCAUUUAAAUUUAAAUUUUCGGUAACACGAUUACAUGUGGUUGUUCCAC